GCAGAGCACUCUACGGGAGGCAGCAGUGGGGAAUAUUGUCACAAUGGGCGCAAGCCUGAUGCAGCCAUGCCGCGUGUAUUGAAGAAGGCCUUCGGGUUGUAAAGUACUUUCAGCAGUGAGGAAGGUGGGUAUGUUAAUAGCAUACUCAUUUGACGUUAGCUGCAGAAGAAGCACCGGCUAACUCCGUGCCAGCAGCCGCGGUAAUACGGAGGGUGCGAGCGUUAAUCGGAAUUACUGGGCGUAAAGCGCAUGCAGGUGGUUUGUUAAGUCAGAUGUGAAAGCCCGGGGCUCAACCUCGGAAUUGCAUUUGAAACUGGCAAACUAGAGUACUGUAGAGGGGGUAGAAUUUCAGGUGUAGCGGUGAAAUGCGUAGAGAUCUGAAGGAAUACCGGUGGCGAAGGCGGCCCCCUGGACAGAUACUGACACUCAGAUGCGAAAGCGUGGGGAGCAAACAGGAUUAGAUACCCUGGUAG
rnacentral:rRNA from 1 species